rnacentral:ncRNA from 2 species
AACAACCUUCGGGGCAGGGUGCAAUUCCCGAUCGGUGGUAUAGCCCACGAGUGAUUUGGAGUGCAGAAGCUUGCUUCUGCAAUACGCCAGCAAGCUGGCUGAAUCCAAAUGACAUGAUUCGGUUCAACUCCGAAGCCGACAGUAUAGUCUGGAUAUAAGAAGGUAUAA